rnacentral:rRNA from 1 species
GCGAGGAAUUUUCCGCAAUGGGCGAAAGCCUGACGGAGCAAUGCCGCGUGAAGGAUGAAGGCCUAUGGGUUGUAAACUUCUUUUCUCAGAAAAGAAUUAUGACGGUAUCUGAGGAAUAAGCAUCGGCUAACUCUGUGCCAGCAGCCGCGGUAAGACAGAGGAUGCAAGCGUUAUCCGGAAUGAUUGGGCGUAAAGCGUCUGUAGGUUGUUUAAAAAGUAUUCUGUCAAAGAUUAGGGCUUAACCCUAGAUAGGCAGAAUAAACUUUUAAGCUAGAGUUUGGUAGAGGCAGAGGGAAUUCCCGGUGGAGCGGUGAAAUGCGUAGAUAUCGGGAGGAACACCAAGGGCGAAGGCACUCUGCUGGGCCAAUACUAACACUGAGAGACGAAAGCGAGGGGAGCAAAUGGGAUUAGAAACCAGGGUAGUCC